GACGAACGCUGGCGGCGUGCCUAAUACAUGCAAGUAGAACGCUGAAGCGAGGAGCUUGCUCUUCUUGGAUGAGUUGCGAACGGGUGAGUAACGCGUAGGUAACCUGCCUUGUAGCGGGGGAUAACUAUUGGAAACGAUAGCUAAUACCGCAUAACAAUGGAUGACACAUGUCAUUUAUUUGAAAGGGGCAAUUGCUCCACUACAAGAUGGACCUGCGUUGUAUUAGCUAGUAGGUGAGGUAAUGGCUCACCUAGGCGACGAUACAUAGCCGACCUGAGAGGGUGGUCGGCCACACUGGGACGGAGACACGGCCCAGACUCCUACGGGAGGCAGCAGUAGGGAAUCUUCGGCAAUGGGGGCAACCCUGACCGAGCAACGCCGCGUGAGUGAAGAAGGUUUUCGGAUCGUAAAGCUCUGUUGUAAGUCAAGAAAGGGUGUGAGAGUGGAAAGUUCACACUGUGACGGUAGCUUACCAGAAAGGGACGGCUAACUACGUG
rnacentral:rRNA from 1 species